rnacentral:rRNA from 1 species
GAUGCCUUUCGUUCACGGCGAAGUGAAGCGGCAACAGCUUCAAAUUUGAAAUCUGGCCCUCGGGUCCGAAUUGUAAUUUGUAGAGGAUGAUUUUGGUGCGGUAUCUUCCGAGUUCCUUGGAACAGGACGCCUUAGAGGGUGAGAGCCCCGUACGGUUGAAUGCCUAGCCUCUGUAAAUCUCCUUCGACGAGUCGAGUAGUUUGGGAAUGCUGCUCUAAAUGGGAGGUAAAUUUCUUCUAAAGCUAAAUAUUGGCCAGAGACCGAUAGCGCACAAGUAGAGUGAUCGAAAGAUGAAAAGCACUUUGAAAAGAGGGUUAAAUAGCACGUGAAAUUGUUGAAAGGGAAGGAUUUGUGACCAGACUUUUUCUGGGCGGAUCAUCCGGGGUUCUCUCCGGUGCACUUUGCCCAGUAAAGGCCAGCAUCGAUUUUCGGCGGCGGAUAAAAGCAGUGGGAAUGUGGCUCCCCACGGGGAGUGUUAUAGCCCAUUGUAUAAUACGCUGCUGGGGAUCGAGGUACGCGCUUCUGCAAGGAUGCUGGCGUAAUGGUUAUCAAUCACCCGUCUUGAAACACGGACCAAGGAGUCGAACAUUUAUGCGAGUGUUUGGGUGUUAAACCCUCACGCGUAAUGAAAGUGAACGGAGGUGAGAGCCCGUACGGGUGCAUCAUCGACCGAUCCUGAAGUUUUCGGAUGGAUUUGAGUAAGAGCAUAACUGUUCGGACCCGAAAGAUGGUGAACUAUGCGUGGAUAGGGUGAAGCCAGAGGAAACUCUGGUGGAGGCUCGCAGCGGUUCUGACGUGCAAAUCGAUCGUCAAAUCUGCGCAUGGGGGGCGAAAGACUAAUCGAACCAUCUAGUAGCUGGUUACCGCCG